CACAGCUACACCUGCCAAAGCUGUGCCCAGCUGCUGCUGCUGCCUUGUCUUGGAGUGCUUGCAGAAUCAUGGUGCAAAUUUUGUUAUGUGAUCUACGAUGCCUGGAAAAGUUUGUAGCGAAGAUCACUACAUCUCACAAAAAGGAACUGCCUGGAGUUUCUGCUUCAAUAGGAUAUGAUUUUCUGGAAACCACAUAAAGGAUUCCACUUACCAUAAU